GAGUGAACUGGGAAGAGUCCAGCGCUGAAUCACUUCUCCUCUGGGGUCGUGAGGUGUAGCGUACAGACCGUGAGCUUGGAUUGGCCUGCUUGUUCAAGUUUCCCUUGACCGGGGCUCCAGAGAAGGUGCAAGACCUGUCCAACGAGUGGUUGCCUAUCCAUCUUCGCGUGUCUUGGAGUCGGGUUGUUUGGGAUCGCAGCCCAAAGUAGGUGGUAAACUUCAUCUAAGACUGAAUACGGCCACGAGUCCGAUAGCGAACAAGUACCGUGAGGGAAAGUUGCAAAGCACUUUGAAGAGAGAGUUAAAGAGGACGUGAAACCGAUGAGAUGGAAACGGACAGAGCUGGCGUAUCUGGUCUGCAUUCAUCCGUGUGUUCUUGGGCGUUUGGAUUGCCACUCUCCAGACUGGGAUGGUGUUCAUUCUGUUCAGGGGCUCAUGGAGCAUUUGCAGGCGGAGUGCGCUGAGAUGCUCGGAGCAGCUGCAUGAGCUUGGCUUUGAGGCCAGCCCUUCGGGGUCUGGUACCCGGGCUGUGGGAGUGCUGUUUGUUCUGGGUGCUGAGUGUGUGCAAUGGCAACGGGUCCGUGUUGGUUUGAGCUGGCGGUCGGUGGCGGUCGCGUGCGACACGUGCCAGCAGUCAGUUCGGUCCUGCUCGGGCUCUCAUUGCAUGUUCUCGGUGUAAAAGCCGGUCAUCUGUCCGACCCGUCUUGAAACACGGACCAAGGAGUUUAGCGUGUGCGCGAGUCAUUGGGAGUUGAAAACCCAAGGGCGUAAUGAAAGUGAAGGUCUCCUUGCGGAGCUGAUGUGUGAUCUCGUGCACCCCGGUGUGCGGGCGCAACAUAGUCCCGUCCCGAUCGCAUGCGAUGGGGCGGAGACAGAGCGUACGCGCUGAGACCCGAAAGAUGGUGAACUAUUCCUGAGCAGGAUGAAGCCAGAGGAAACUCUGGUGGAAGUCCGAAGCGAUUCUGACGUGCAAAUCGAUCGUCUGACUUGGGUAUA
rnacentral:rRNA from 1 species